rnacentral:rRNA from 1 species
GUGCCAGCAGCCGCGGUAAGACGAAGGGGGCUAGCGUUGUUCGGAAUUACUGGGCGUAAAGGGCGCGUAGGCGGUUUGUUAAGUCAGGCGUGAAAGCCCUGGGCUCAACCUGGGAUGUGCGUUUGAUACUGGCAAGCUUGAGUGCAGGAGAGGAUGGUGGAAUUCCCAGUGUAGAGGUGAAAUUCGUAGAUAUUGGGAAGAACACCGGUGGCGAAGGCGGCCAUCUGGACUGCAACUGACGCUGAGGCGCGAAAGCGUGGGGAGCAAACAGGAUUAGAAACCCUAGUAGUCC